AUUGAACGCUGGCGGCAGGCCUAACACAUGCAAGUCGAACGGUAACAGGAAGAAGCUUGCUUCUUUGCUGACGAGUGGCGGACGGGUGAGUAAUGUCUGGGAAACUGCCUGAUGGAGGGGGAUAACUACUGGAAACGGUAGCUAAUACCGCAUAACGUCGCAAGACCAAAGAGGGGGACCUUCGGGCCUCUUGCCAUCGGAUGUGCCCAGAUGGGAUUGGCUAGUAGGUGGGGUAACGGCUCACCUAGGCGACGAUCCCUAGCUGGUCUGAGAGGAUGACCGGCCACACUGGAACUGGGACACGGUCCAGACUCCUACGGGAGGCAGCAGUGGGGAAUAUGGCACAAUGGGCGCAAGCCUGAUGCAGCCAUGCCGCGUGUAUGAAGAAGGCCUUCGGGUUGUAAAGUACUUUCAGCGGGGAGGAAGGGAGUAAAGUUAAUACCUUUGCUCAUUGACGUUACCCGCAGAAGAAGCACCGGCUAACUCCGUG
rnacentral:rRNA from 1 species